rnacentral:tRNA from 1 species
CAAAGUAUAGCUUUAUUAGAAAGUAUCUCAUUUACACUGGGAAGAUUGGCUGUGCAAUCCAGCCUAUUUUGA